rfam:Myotis brandtii contig135408, whole genome shotgun sequence.
UGCUAACGAAUGCUCUGACUUUAUUGCACUACUGUACUUGACACUAGCAGUGCAAUAGUAUUGUCAAAGCAUCUGAAAGCAGG